rnacentral:rRNA from 1 species
GAUGAACGCUGGCGGCGUGCCUAAUACAUGCAAGUCGAGCGAAUGGAUUAAGAGCUUGCUCUUAUGAAGUUAGCGGCGGACGGGUGAGUAACACGUGGGUAACCUGCCCAUAAGACUGGGAUAACUCCGGGAAACCGGGGCUAAUACCGGAUAACAUUUUGAACCGCAUGGUUCGGAAGUGAAAGGCGGCUUCGGCGGUCACUUCUGGAUGGACCCGCGUCGCAUUAGCUAGUUGGUGAGGUAACGGCUCACCAAGGCAACGAUGCGUAGCCGACCUGAGAGGGUGAUCGGCCACACUGGGACUGAGACACGGCCCAGACUCCUACGGGAGGCAGCAGUAGGGAAUCUUCCGCAAUGGACGAAAGUCUGACGGAGCAACGCCGCGUGAGUGAUGAAGGCUUUCGGGUCGUAAAACUCUGUUGUUAGGGAAGAACAAGUGCUAGUUGAAUAAGCUGGCACCUUGACGGUACCUAACCAGAAAGCCACGGCUAACUACGUGCCAGCCGCCGCGGUAA